rnacentral:rRNA from 1 species
GCGCAGCAGGCGAGAAUACUUUACAAUGUGCGAAAGCGCGAUAAGGGAACUCUGAGUGCCUCCUAAGGAGGCUGUUCAGGUGUCUAAAAGCACCUGAAGGAAGGGCUAGGUAAGACCGGUGCCAGCCGCCGCGGUAACACCGGCAGCCCAAGUGGUAGCCACGUUUAUUGGGUCUAAAGCGUCCGUAGCCGGCUGGGUAAGUUCCUUGGGAAAUUUGGCUGCUUAACAGUCAAGCUUUCAGGGAAUACUGCCCGGCUUGGGGACCGGGAGAGGUCAGAGGUACUCCAGGGGUAGGGGUGAAAUCCAUUAGUCCUUGGGGGACCACCGGUAGCGAAGGCGUCUGACCAGACCGGGUCCGACGGUGAGGGACGAAGGCUAGGGGCGCGAACCGGAUUAGAUACCCGCGUAGU